rnacentral:rRNA from 1 species
UACGUAGGGCGCAAGCGUUGUCCGGAAUUAUUGGGCGUAAAGAGCUCGUAGGCGGCCAGUUGCGUCUGCUGUGAAAGCCCGGGGCUCAACCCCGGAAUUGCCUUUGAGACUGCAUCGCUAGAAUUGUGGAGAGGUAAGUGGAAUUCCGAGUGUAGAGGUGAAAUUCGUAGAUAUUCGGAAGAACACCAGUGGCGAAGGCGACUUACUGGACACAUAUUGACGCUGAGGUGGACGAAAGCGUGGGGAGCAAACAGG